CGAAACAGCACUGGAGGAUCUGUCAAACAUAUCUAGGUGUAACAACCUCCAGAUGUUAAGGACUGCUAGAGCAGUAGGGUGAGUGGCCCCUCAUCAACAUUCUCUGCUACCUUAUACACCAAACUAUCUAUGGCUUGUAAACAGGGCUCUACAGGCUCUAAGAUCGGGGAACGGACUCCCCCCACAAUAUGAUCAUUAGUUUUU